UACGGGGGGAGCAAGCGUUGUCCGGAUUUAUUGGGCGUAAAGAGCGUGUAGGCGGCUUUACAGGUCCGUUGUGAAAACUCGAGGCUCAACCUCGAGACGCCGGUGGAAACCGUAAAGCUAGAGUCCGGAAGAGGAGAGUGGAAUUCCUGGUGUAGCGGUGAAAUGCGCAGAUAUCAGGAAGAACACCCGUGGCGAAGGCGGCUUGCUGGACCCUUUCUGACGCUGAGGCGCGAAAGCCAGGGGAGCGAACGGG
rnacentral:rRNA from 1 species